rnacentral:lncRNA from 1 species
GCCGCCGUGACUAGUACCUGAGCAAGUUUUCCUGCAGCUUAUCGGAAUGUGUAGUUCUAUUGAUCCUGCCGAAAGUCUGAACGGGAGUUGCCGGAAGUACUGUAGCUUGCCGGAAAUCCUCGCCGGAAAAAUAAGGCACCUGUCCAUGAAAACAGAACACACCCACGCACACCCACAAAAAUCAGAAGAGAAAAUAGGAAGAAAAGGGCAGAAAGAGAAUUGAAAUAAACAAAAGAAAAGCAGAACAAAGAACUCAACAAAGGAGAUUUUCUCAAAUUGAAGAAAAGUGGCACUGGUGGCGGCUGGCCACCUGUUCUAUAAGCAGAAAAGAACAGAGCCAAAAAGAAAAAAAGAAAAAGAGAUAUAAAAGAUGAGAGGGAUGUGGGGUGGAAGAAAUGGGGGAGAACGACAAGAAGGAGUGUCGUAGCCGGCGUCCCAGCGGCAGUGCAGACGAAAACGAUAGGAGGCAAAAAGAAAAAGAAAAAAAAUAGAAAAGGGGAGAGCAGGAUGUAGGGAGGGGUAAGUGGGGAUUUGGGGUGGGAGAACCGGGAAAGAGGGGACUUACCUUUGGGGUGGGGGUGGUCGCUGGUAGCCAUAUUGUUCGUCGGCUGUUAAAUGGCCGCUAGGGCUUGGUCAAAGAGAGAGGACGUGAGAGGGGAGAGAGAGGUUUGCAUUCAGCCAGAAAAAAUGUAUUAUUAAAAACUAAGCAUAAAUGGUAAUAUAGUUUACUAUAUGGCAUAGGAAUAUAAUUUUUUUUUACUUAAUUUACUAUUGGCCCAUAAUUA